UACUAGAAAGAGAAGUCAUGUUUAUUUAUGAAGCCAUUUGCAUGGUGUAGUCUCUCAUUGUUGAAUUUCACAUGCCUUAAACUCACAGUGUGAGGGGAACCGAAAAGCCCCAAGUUUAGAGCAUGUGAGAAAGGAAAUGAAGUUCUGGAACAGCUGUUCUCUGGGUUAUUUUUCAGCCUGACUACAAAGCAGGGAGCUGUACUUUGACCACAAGAGUUUUGCUUCCUUUUCAGAGGCGCACUGUGUAUGUGGCUGGAGGAAACGCGAGAAAAUUCGGUGGCGGGCCUUUGUAAAUUGUGAAGCACCAGGCGACAGAAACGUUUUGUUGGCACAGAAGAAUUUUUGCUGGUCUCAGGAGACACUGGGUAACUGGUGACGUGCAGACUGACUCUUGCUGAGUCGCAGGACCGAGAGCCUUCACCAUCCUUCUCAACCUUCCCGUGAAGGCUGUGGCAUCGUGCGUGGAGGUCUCUGCUCUGACCUCUCGGCUCUGGCCCUUGUCCCAUCUUUCACGAGCAAGCCAACCCAGCGAGAGGACAGAUGUGAGUGGACAUUGCCAACCUCUGGACGGGAGCGAUUGCGCAGCUUGGGAAGGGGGCCCCGUGUGACGCAUGAACGGGAAGAUCUGGAAGGGCUGUUGAGGAGAAUUGCGGAUGUCAGCUUUGUCUGACAUCACAGCCAAUAAAAACUCACACCAGCACA